AUGUUUGUCGUGUGCCCGAGGAUGGGGCUGCGGCCGAUCAGGCAGUUGGCGAGGUAACGGCUCACCAAACCUUUAACCGGUACGGGCCAUGAAAGUGGUAGCCCGGAGAUGGGCACUGAGACAGGGGCCCAGGCCCUACGGGGCGCAGCAGGCGCGAAAACUCCACAAUGUACGGAAGUACGAUGGGGUUAUCUCGAGUGCAGUCCGAUAAGGGUUGCUUUUCCAUAGAGUAAUAUCCUGUGGGAAUAAGAGGGGGGCAAGACUGGUGUCAGCCGCCGCGGUAACACCAGCCCCUCGAGUGGUGGGGACUAUUAUUUGGCCUAAAGCGUCCGUAGCUGGCUGUAUCCGUCCCCCGUUAAAUCCAGCGUCCUAAGCGUUGGACCGCGGGUGAUACCAUACAGCUAGAGGGUGGGAUAGGUGGGCGGUAUUUCUGGGGUAGGGGCGAAAUCCUUUGAUCCCAGGAGGACCACCAGUGGCGAAGGCUGCCCACUAGAACACGCCUGACGGUCAGGGACGAAAGCUGGGGCAGCGAACCGGAUUAGAUACCCGGGUAGUCCCAGCUGUAAACGAUGCUAGCUAGGUGUUGGGUCGGCCACGCGCCGCCCCAGUGCCGCAGGGAAGCCGUUAAGCUAGCCGCCUGGGGAGUACGGCCGCAAGGCUGAAACUUAAAGGA
rnacentral:rRNA from 1 species